UACGAAGGGGGCUAGCGUUGUUCGGAAUCACUGGGCGUAAAGCGCACGUAGGCGGAUUGCUAAGUCAGGGGUGAAAUCCUGGAGCUCAACUCCAGAACUGCCUUUGAUACUGGCGACCUUGAGUCCGGGAGAGGUGAGUGGAACUGCGAGUGUAGAGGUGAAAUUCGUAGAUAUUCGCAAGAACACCAGUGGCGAAGGCGGCUCACUGGCCCGGUACUGACGCUGAGGAACGAAAGCCAGGGGAGCGAACGGG
rnacentral:rRNA from 1 species